AAUUUUGAACAUUUCAAUUUUUCUUCUGUUUCUAGGUAAAAAAGCAGUGGCAGACAAAUCCUCUCCUCCUGGCCAUCAUUAAAUGGCUCUUCGUUGAGUAUGCAUUCCAUGACUUGUCAUCUCUGCUAUAAAUGAAGCAAGCUACCAUCAUAGGGAAGUUAAUUGGACCGCAUAAGCAUUAUACAGUCCUACAACUGUAUAUAAUCCACUGUACUUCAUAGGAGGAAUAAAUGUGUUGAGCAAGAA